rnacentral:lncRNA from 1 species
GGACCCUUUCCAGCCUUUCCGUGGUGGGCAGCUGCUUGACUUGGCCAUCCAUCCUGUUUCCUAUUUGCACUUGGUCCACAGCUCACAGACACACAAAGGAGAGACCCUUUUGUCAGUGUUUACGACNGCUGUUUAUAUGGCGCUAUCCCCCCUUCCCCCGGAGGGCCAGGGCUUCAACACGGAACAUUUCUUAUCUUUCUAAAGGUCAAAAGCUCAGGCUGGUUCCUGCGCCAUUCACUGGAUGCAGAGGGGAUAUAAAAACCUCCUCUGGAAGUACUCAAGGUACCCUUGCCUUCCAUGUGGCGAUAACGCAGGCUGGGAUGGGGGGAUUAUGUUCCCGCGGCGAGCAGAAGACCACGUACGUGAACAGCAAAGCUUAUGUCCCAGACACCGAAGGUAUUGCCUGCCAAGCACCUUUUCUCCUGAGCAGAUGGGCGAUUGCUACAAGGACGGAGCCAAGAAUGGAAAUUCUUCUGUCCCCAGAGGCUCCUUGUUGGAAGACCAUCUGUCCUGCAGCUCAAGUCAAAGAACCUUCAAGCCUUCCUUCUCCUUUCUUCAUGGAGAGACAUAUGAAACAAUCUACUUUCUUCCUUCUGUCCAUGGCGCACCUUGGAACUUUUGUACCUUGACUGAAACUCUGGGAUCUUUGAUCUUGAACACUCUUUAUCCANCUGCAAUAAAGAACUGGGGAGAGGGGAAGAGACGUAUCUACAGGGAAAGAGAGGUUUUGCAAGUAAUGA